AAUCUGAUUGAAAGACUUAAACAGUUAACACCAACUAUAGCUAAAAUUCUAAUUAAUUUUCAUGGGAAAAGCUAAUUACUUUAACAAGAGGGGCUAGGCCCAACACCAAUAAAUUGGUAGCCCAAUAGGAAAGAAACAACAUUUAAUAGGAACAACAGGAUUGGGCCCCCAAGAUCAAGCCUAGAUCCGAACAAGGACCAUUUCAAUUUUAAAGAAAUUCUUAACUCG
rnacentral:lncRNA from 1 species